CAAAGGCUUGGUCCUGACUUUGCCAUCAGCUUUAACUAAACUUACACAUGCGAGUAUCCGCACCCCUGUGAGAAUGCCCCGCUACCUCCUGCUUGGAGACGAGGAGCCGGCAUCAGGCACAAUAUUCUUUAGCCCACGACGCCUUGCUAAGCCACACCCCCAAGGGAAUUCAGCAGUGAUAAAUAUUAAGCCAUGAGUGAAAACUUGACUUAGUUAGUGUUUAUAGGGCCGGUAAACCUCGUGCCAGCCACCGCGGUUAGACGAGAGACCCAAGUGGAUGGCCCUCGGCGUAAAGAGUGGUUAAGAUAAUUUUAAACUAAGGCCAAACGACUUUUUAGCUGUUAUACGCGCGAGAAGACAUGAAGCCCAACUACGAAAGUGGCCUUAAACCCCUGACCCCACGAAAGCUAGGACACAAACUGGGAUUAGAUACCCCACUAUGCCUAGCCCUAAACAUUGAUAAUACCCUACCCAGUUUAUCCGCCCGGGGACUACGAGCGUCAGCUUGAAACCCAAAGGACUUGGCGGUGCUUUAGAUCCACCUAGAGGAGCCUGUUCUAGAACCGAUAAUCCCCGUUCAACCUCACCUUUCCUUGCUCAUUCCGCCUAUAUACCGCCGUCGUCAGCUUACUCUUUGAGGAACCAGCCGUAAGCGCAACUGGUACAACCUAAAACGCCAGGUCGAGGUGUAGCGAAUGGAAAGGGAAGAAAUGGGCUACAUUCAAUAACAAUAAUGCAUACGAACGAUGUCCUGAAAUAAACAUCUGAAGGAGGAUUUAGUAGUAAGUAGAGAGUAGAGUGCUCUGCUGAAGCCGGCCCUGAAGCGCGUACACACCGCCCGUCACUCUCCCCGAGCUAACCAUAAAAAUUAAUAAUAAGCAAAACUUGCAAAGGGGAGGCAAGUCGUAACAUGGUAAGCGUACCGGAAGGUGCGCUUGGCUAAACCC
rnacentral:ncRNA from 1 species